CUUGCCUUUGAUGAUUAAGUGCUAGCACCUGGCCCUUGCCACCUCAGAAUACAGUUAUUUCCAUUACAUGUACCUUUUUCAGUUGAGUGACUGAGGUUCCCACUGUAAAGUCCAGCUUAAACAGAAGAGUAACUACGGAGCUCUUCAGGGAUGCUGGGGCUCCCCUAACAAAUCUGUUUCUCAAUGUGUUCAUGAGAGGUGUGUCUUCUGGAUUCUUCCAGUGUGGGCAAAGAACAUGGACUCACAGACACUGGAUGGCUUGCACAAUGUCUUGAAGCCCCAAAGACUAGGUUGAAAUGCACAUGCAUUUUCACAAUACCACGCUUCCUCAUCUCUGUAAAGCUUACAUUUUAAUCCUCAUACAAGCUUUUGACUGAAAGGGCCUAUAAGAAAGGACAUCCCAGUGGAAGUCAGCACAUGUUAUGCAUAGAUAUUGGCUUGUAACAACAUUCCCCAUUAAAAGAAACCAGAGCUCCUGGGAGAAGUGGCUGAUAUUACAAUAGCAGAAGAAAUAUACAAGUUGGGCCUGAGUACUUUGUAGUGCCAGAAGGUUAAGAAGGACUAAAAGACCCCACAAUUAUGAAGUUCUGGAGGCUGAGAAGUCCAUGAUCAAGGGGUUGGCAGGUUCAGUCUCUGGUUCCAAGAUGGUGUCUUGUUGCUGCAUCCUCCAGAGAGGAGUAACAUUUUGUCCUCACGUGGCAGAAUAGUGGAAGAGAGAGAACCCACCCCUGAAAUCCUGUUUUAUAGCUGUAUUAAUCCACUUACGAGUUCAGCACUUUCACGACCUAAACACUCGCCAAAGACGUCAUCUUCCAACACUGCUGCAGUGGGGAUCAUGUUUCUAACACAUGAUUUUGGAGAACAUAUUCAAACCAUUGCA
rnacentral:lncRNA from 1 species